GAUGAACGCUAGCGGCAGGCCUAACACAUGCAAGUCGAGGGGCAUCAUGGCGUAGCAAUACGCUGAUGGCGACCGGCGCACGGGUGCGUAACGCGUAUGGAACCUACCCACCGCAGGGGGAUAACCCGCCGAAAGGCGGACUAAUACCCCAUGGUUCCCCGACCCUGCCUGGGGUUGGGGGUAAAGCCUACGGGCGGCGGUGGAUGGCCCUGCGUGCCAUUAGCUGGCUGGUGGGGUAACGGCCCACCAGGGCGACGAUGGCUAGGGGGUCUGAGAGGACGAUCCCCCACACUGGUACUGAGACACGGACCAGACUCCUACGGGAGGCAGCAGUGAGGAAUAUUGGUCAAUGGGCGGAAGCCUGAACCAGCCAUGCCGCGUGCAGGAUGACGGCCCUACGGGUUGUAAACUGCUUUUCCCGGGGCGAAUAACCCCUCGCGAGGGGAGUGCCGGUACCGGGGGAAGUAAGGAAUCGGCGUAACGUCCGUGCCAGCAGCCGCGGUAACUCGUAGUCGU
rnacentral:rRNA from 1 species